GUUUGAGAGAAUACCAGAAAAAGCCAGAGAGAAGUGAGAAAGUAAGAGAUGGGCAACAAAAACAAAGCAGACAAGUGCAAACAGCAAUAUUGCAACAACAAAUGUAGAGCAACAACCACUAUGCACACGUGGGGGUCUUUUAUUUAGUGAGAGAGAAAAAGAGAAUUGAAAGAAAGAGCGGGCUCCACAAAAUGCGGGGGCGUCGCUGCCACUGCCGCUGUCGACGUCCUAACGUCUGCCGACUCUUGAUGUGGCGCUCUCCCCAUUCUUGAUUCUCACCUAAAGAGUGUUCUCCCACUCUUAGUCAAAUAACGAAAAACGUGACAGAGUCGUGUUGUGGUUCUCUACUCGGAGGCAUUUAAUACCCUGUGAUAGGGUAUGUUUGGUUACAUUGUUAAUUUAUUUUUUCUUUUCCUUGUAUAAAUACUUAUUUUCUUGUGCAGCUAGGGUAGAAAAUACAUAUACCAGAAAAGAUAAAAACAAAGCAUACAAAUUAAAUUGGUAUAAAAUAUUGAGUUUUGGGUGCCAAUGCACAAGACCGAAAACUUAAAGUUGAUCACCCAUACGCACUGUUGAACAAACGUACUUUUUUCAAACGAAUGUUUUAUUUUCAUUUAAAUCAUUGUUGACAUGUUACUUGUUAUGUUAUGUUGUUGUUAUGUUAUUGUUAUUGCUUGAAAAUAUUCCUACUAAGAAAGACGAAUACUAUACUUUAUUUCUUUUAAUUUGAAAAUUAAAGUGUCAUUUAAAUAUAAUUUUAAAUUACCCCCUCGAAGGCAAAACCAUUUAAACCAUAUACAAAUAACUUAAAGAAAAAAAUCUAACCAUUGAGUGCUUAAGAUCCCAAAUUCAAAAAUUCCCUAAAAAUUCCUUCUGCAGCGAUUAUUAUAGGGUAACGGCACUUCGAUCAGUCUAUCUCGCUUCUCAUUCUUACCUUCGUGUGCGUGCGAGGGCUAACAUAACAAAAAACACACGCACACUGACGACGCGCGUAUCAUGUCAAAAAGCUUAGCGCGUAUUAUAACCUCUAUUUUCGUUUCGGUUUCUUCCGUUUGCCUCGUUUAUUUCACCUUUUCACCGCCUAAUUGUUUGCUAAUGUGGCUUUUGUUUAAUUUUAUUAAAAAGAAAAGUUGAUCACGAAAAACUGGAAUGGGGGUGGGGGAAAAACCAGGGGUGCCUUUAUUUAUUAUUUGUUGUUGUUGCAUCAGCAGCUGACUUGCUGGUCUUGCGCGUGUGUGAGUGCGGGAAAGAGAGGGAAGCAAACAGCGUGCAAGCCGCAAGUCUAGACAUACACACACACAUUCUCACAGCUGCUAAUUUAAUUAAAAAUAUAAAAUGGAAAUAAUUUUCGUAUUUUUUUCGCUUCCCUUUAGGUUUUUUUUAGUUUUUUUUAAUUAAAUUUAAAUUUGCCGAAAAUUACACGCGACAUUGGACGCGCUUUGCGUGUGUGUCUCCGUGUGUUACUCUCACUCAUACCAGCAUACCAGCACUAUACACACACACAAACGCAGGGCUAUAUCGACAAAGACGGUGUACAGUCCACUUGUUAAAUCAAUAAAAAUAAAAAGAAACCCAGCAGAAGGCAACCCACAAAAUUCGGUAAAAUCCUCCAGUUCCGAUAGAUAAAAGGCUUAUCAUCACCAAAAUGCAAUCUAUAUUUUCGGUUUAACAUAAAAAAUAUGCUGGCAUGCCAACAGGCGCGCGCCAAAAGAAAAGCUUUGGAAAAUUGAAACGCGACCUCGCCAAACAGCUGUUUCACGGAUGUCCCAGGUUGACCAUGAAAACACACACACACACAAACUCAGGCAAACAGGGCCAUAACGUGAUUUCUAGGAUAUAACUACGCACCAUUCUGCUCGUUUUCCGUGCAUUUCUUAUCGGGCAUUAUACACAACUUAACUCCCGAGAUCAAGGUGCUGCGACAGCGACAAUUGGAGAUUGAGAUUAGCAGCCGCAUCUGGCGAAAUUGAGCGAGCAAAUGGAACUGAGCGCCGUACAACAUGGCGUAUGCGUCUAUUACACAUACGCACUGGGUACACACACACAAACACACAGCGAGAGAGAGGGAUGAUGCGCAGUUGAUGCCACAUAUAAAAGCUUUCAGGAUGCCACAACGAGAGCGCUUUCUUCUCUUCUCGGAAUCAGCUGUUUUGGGAGACAAUUUCCAUUUAAUUUAUGGUUCGUCACACUGCAGUUUUAAAUAUUUAAAAACCUAUUGAGCGCCACUCAGAGCCAAAAUCAUUAAACAAAUAAGUUGUUUGAACCUUAAAAAUCAAUAAUGUAAUAAUAUUCAUUUUGUAUAUUUCCUUAAACAAAUAUGAUAAGAUAGUUGGAUUAAGGAAUGCUUUAAAAACUGAAUAAUGAUUUAUUGAAACUUUAAAUGAAUAAAAUAACUUUAAAACUUAAUAUUGACGUAUGUUUGUAACCCCCAAAAAUUAAUGUAUUAAACUUUAUUUAUUAGUCAACUUAUUUUCGUCAUAUUGCAUUGCACAAAAAAGGUAAAUAAAUAUUUUGAAAAUGUGCACAUAAAUAUAUCAAAUGUGUUAGGGUGAUGCCGACAUUUACAAAUUAA